GGGUAUUAAGGACUGUCCAAAUUAAAAUGACAUGGAAUUUUGUUAUAAUGAUAUUCAUGUGCGCGACGUCAUCGCUUUGGAAUGUUUAUCACGUGCGUGGGUGGCAAACGUCUGCAAUUACUAGUGAGGGCGGAGCUUGGGUCACAUGACACUGUACUUAAUUUAUUAAAGUUGACCGUAGCUAGUUGAUCGAGUAAAACCCUGAAAGCAUUUGUUGUAGGCUACCUAGUAGCUAUUAAAGGCCUUAACUAAGACUAUUAGAUAGUAGAGAACUUGUUUCCUGCUGCGCAAGACAGAGUGCAGCCAAGCAAGGAAGUUAGGAGGAGAAAUCAGGGACAAUUCAGCAGGAUUUCAUCAGUAUAUGAUAUGUACAUCAGGAUUCCUGGAAAAGAUAGGAUCUAACUAACCUGGAACAAAUGCUUUAUUUAUAAUUAGUUUUACAAUGAAAUUUCAUGUUAAUUGGUCACAUGAUAAUCACAUGAUCUUUAUUUUUGAUUAAGGAAACUUAAAUUUUUAUGAGAAAACAAAAUGUCAAAUUGAUAUGUUUAAUAUCGCA